rnacentral:lncRNA from 1 species
GUGCUUGCUGAUUUGAUAUACGGCUGGGAUUGAAUUUAUAUUUAGCUCAGGUAAAUACUCUUAGCUUAUUUUCCCUAUACGGGCUUGGGAUACGGUAUUAUGAUAAUACCGCUUGGUACUGUACGUAAUUGGCUGGGAGCUCAGGGCGUCAAUAGGGAAUCUUGCAAGUUCUAGAUGCCUAAAGUCUGUUGAACAGUGUUUAUCUUUCUGUUUUAAG